AUGCGUUAAGGAAGAAAGUUCGAAUCAAGUGAAGCAACAAGGGGAUCAAGACCGAGGUAAAUCUCAUGUCUAGCUAUCAAGCUCUGCCCGGUUCGAACACGCCUCAAGCCCGUCAAGCGUUCCGCAUUUUGUAAAAGUCAAUGUUUAAUACUUUGUCACUUAUGUUUUCGUCUAGUAGUUAAACCUAGUUUUUAUUAUGUUUGUCUUUUGGAAAA